rnacentral:rRNA from 1 species
GGUGAGUAACACGUGGGAACGUGCCUUUAGGUUCGGAAUAACUCAGGGAAACUUGUGCUAAUACCGAAUGUGCCCUUCGGGGGAAAGAUUUAUCGCCUUUAGAGCGGCCCGCGUCUGAUUAGCUAGUUGGUGAGGUAAAGGCUCACCAAGGCGACGAUCAGUAGCUGGUCUGAGAGGAUGAUCAGCCACAUUGGGACUGAGACACGGCCCAAACUCCUACGGGAGGCAGCAGUGGGGAAUCUUGCGCAAUGGGCGAAAGCCUGACGCAGCCAUGCCGCGUGAAUGAUGAAGGUCUUAGGAUUGUAAAAUUCUUUCAGUAGGGACGAUAAUGACGGUACCUACAGAAGAAGCCCCGGCUAACUUCGUGCCAGCAGCCGCGGUAAUACGAAGGGGGCUAGCGUUGCUCGGAAUUACUGGGCGUAAAGGGAGCGUAGGCGGACAUUUAAGUCAGGGGUGAAAUCCCGGGGCUCAACCUCGGAAUUGCCUUUGAUACUGGGUGUCUUGAGUGUGAGAGAGGUAUGUGGAACUCCGAGUGUAGAGGUGAAAUUCGUAGAUAUUCG